ensembl:lncRNA
GUUGCUUAAAUCGCUCCUCUGUCUUUGGGUGCCACUGAGCACAGGACCAUCCAUCCACCCAGGCAAGGAGGCUUUCAUAUUUCUUCAGGUAACUCCAUGAAUUAUAAGCAAGGAUAAAUGAAAGUAGGAAUAAUCCAACACCAACUAUUGCCAGAAUUAAAAAUCUCAUGAAUGAUGGCAUAGCAGAUAACAUACACAACUAUACACCCUCUUCUGGUGCUACAGACAUUUUAGUAGCUGCUGAGCCCUUUAAAUUGGUGCUGUGUCUUAGAACCUUCUGUGAUGAUGAAAAUGUUCUGUAAUCUGCCCUGUCCAAUGCUGAAUGCUGUGACCACUUGCCACCUGUGGCUACUGAGCACUUGAAAUGUGGCUGGCAUGAUUUAGAAUGAAAUUUUUAAUAUAAUUUAAUUUCAAUUAAUUUACAUGUAAAUGACUGUGUGUGGUUAAUAGCUACCAUAUUGGGCACUGAACCUUAAACUCCUCCGUGGAUGUUCUCACAGCUUUGAACUAGAAAAAGGUCCGCCAGAUCGCGUUAAAAUAAAUGUAGUCUUACUUAUUGUCAGUGUAACUCUUGCGUCCUCUCACCUCCCAAAUUUGAAGACACACUCAUAAUUGCAGUUAGAUAGUUAAGAGUUCAAAAGACAGUUUUUCUAUUUAAUCAAAUAAUAGGAUCCAUACUGGCUGGUUUUCUUUCUUCCUUUCUUUUUCCCCAAGCUCCCUUCAGAAAUUUCAUGCCUUUUUGUUCCUCUAGGAUCAAAAAAACUCAGAACGAAACAUGCAGAUUAUGAAAUGAUGUGGAUGGUUUCGUGCAAUUUGGAAUUGGGAAUCACACCUUACUGCAGAGCCUGGCCUGAUGUAAUGGCAGUUUGACAAGUGUCUUAUUCUGUUUGGGCUGCUGUCACAAGAUACCACCAACUGGGUAGCUCAUAAACCACAGACAUUGACUUCUCACCGUUCCGGAGACUGGAAGCCUGAGAUCCGUGUAUCAGCGUGGCCAGGUAAGGGCCAUCUUCUGGGUGCAGACUUCUUUUUGGAUCUUCACAUACUGGAAGGGAUGAGCUGGCUCUCCAGGGCGUGCUUAAUAAGAGUAUCAAUCCCAUUCCUGUGGGCUCUGCCCUCACGACCUCAUCACCUCCCAAAGGCCCCACCCCCUAAUGCUAUCACCUUGGGAAUUAGAUUUUCAACAUAGGAAUGUGGGGGGCGGGGGCAUAGACAUUUAGACCACAGCAGUAAGUUAUCCUGAGGUGGGGUUGGUGGCAUGAGAAGGUUUUUAGUGAUUGGAUUAUGAACAGUUCACUAAAACUCAGGGCCUUGGAGAGUUAGCAGUGGUGCCCAUGGAGGGAGGCUUUCAGGCCCUAAUUCAGCCCAACACUGGAUUGGGAAUGGUAGUGAAGAACUAGCAUAGACAAAUGGGAACACAGGGUCUCAGGCUGACUGAGGCCCACACUUAGGGAAGCAGAGGAUGGCCACAGAUGCCUUGUGAGAAGUUUAUGGCAAUUCUCAGUUCUCUGACAGCGGUAAUAACCCUCCUGAUCUAUGCCCAGCUGCCCAAAGCAUCCAUCCAGAUGUGUGCUCCAGCAUUUGGCUCACUUGUUAAGCUUCUUCCCAUUAACUGCACAGUCUCUGC